rnacentral:rRNA from 1 species
UACGUAGGGGGCGAGCGUUGUCCGGAUUUAUUGGGCGUAAAGAGCGUGUAGGCGGCUAGAUAGGUCCGUUGUGAAAACUCGAGGCUCAACCUCGAGACGUCGGCGGAAACCCUCUGGCUAGAGUCCGGAAGAGGAGAGUGGAAUUCCUGGUGUAGCGGUGAAAUGCGCAGAUAUCAGGAAGAACACCCGUGGCGAAGGCGGCUCUCUGGGACGGUACU